CGACGUGAGGAACCUGCCUCGGAGUGGGGAAUAACACAACAAAGCUGUGCUAAUACCGCAUGAUACAGUUGGGUCGCAUGACUCUGACUGUCAAAGAUUUAUCGCUCUGAGAUGGCCUCGCGUCCGAUUAGCUAGUUGGUGAGGUAACGGCCCACCAAGGCGACGAUCGGUAGCCGGACUGGGAGGUUGAACGGCCACAUUGGGACUGAGACACGGCCCAG
rnacentral:rRNA from 1 species